UGGGGAAUAUUGCACAAUGGGGGAAACCCUGAUGCAGCGACGCCGCGUGAGCGAAGAAGGCUUUCGAGUCGUAAAGCUCUGUCCUAUGAGAAGAUAAUGACGGUAUCAUAGGAGGAAGCCCUGGCUAAAUACGUGCCAGCAGCCGCGGUAAUACGUAGGGCGCAAGCGUUAUCCGGAAUUAUUGGGCGUAAAGAGCUUGUAGGCGGUUCGUCGCGUCUGGUGUGAAAGCCCAUCGCUUAACGGUGGGUUUGCGCCGGGUACGGGCGGGCUAGAGUGCAGUAGGGGAGACUGGAAUUCCCGGUGUAACGGUGGAAUGUGUAGAUAUCGGGAAGAACACCAAUGGCGAAGGCAGGUCUCUGGGCUGUUACUGACGCUGAGAAGCGAAAGCGUGGGGAGCGAACAGG
rnacentral:rRNA from 1 species